CUGGCAUCAACAUAACAGGGAUUUGAACAUGGCUCAGUUCAUUGAUCGAGUGGUUUACCCCCCACAUGAGGACGCUGAGCAGCGGGUCGCUGGCCCGAAACAGCUUCACUUUCUGCGCUACGAAGUGCUUCUUCUUGGUCUUGGUCUUGCUCGCCAGGACAGAGGACCCUAGGUUGCCGGGGGUCGCCAUGGCCGCCUCCUAUGUCCCCUCCACCGCCGUGCUCCCGAGGCCGGGGACCCGCCCUCUCUACACCCCGGCCCGGGGAGGCAGCCGCAUCCCCCCGGCGGCGGCCCCGGCGCGCCGCGCUCCGCUCCGCCCGCCGCCGCCGGCGCGCUCAGCCCCACUCGGCUCGCUCCGCCCGCUCGGCCCGGCAGACUGCGCUCGGCUCGCGCCCCGGCCCGUAUCCUGCGCCCGCCGCGGAUCCGCGCUCAGCCCGCGGCUGGACCCGGCGCGCGGCGAGCGGCUUCCGCGUUGGG
rnacentral:lncRNA from 1 species